rnacentral:tRNA from 1 species
GGGAAUGUGGCUCAGUGGUAGAGUGCUUGUCUAACAUACAUGAAGCCCUGGGUUCAGUUCCUCAAUACCA